rnacentral:rRNA from 1 species
GACGAACGCUGGCGGCGUGCUUAACACAUGCAAGUCGAACGAAGAGCGACGGAAGCUUGCUUCUAUCAAUCUUAGUGGCGAACGGGUGAGUAACACGUAAUCAACCUGCCCUUCAGAGGGGGACAACAGUUGGAAACGACUGCUAAUACCGCAUACGAUCUAACCUCGGCAUCGAGGAUAGAUGAAAGGUGGCCUCUACAUGUAAGCUAUCACUGAAGGAGGGGAUUGCGUCUGAUUAGCUAGUUGGAGGGGUAACGGCCCACCAAGGCGAUGAUCAGUAGCCGGUCUGAGAGGAUGAACGGCCACAUUGGGACUGGGACACGGCCCAGACUCCUACGGGAGGCAGCAGUGGGGAAUCUUCCGCAAUGGACGAAAGUCUGACGGAGCAACGCCGCGUGAGUGAUGACGGCCUUCGGGUUGUAAAGCUCUGUUAAUCGGGACGAAAGGCCUUCUUGCGAAUAGUGAGAAGGAUUGACGGUACCGGAAUAGAAAGCCACGGCUAACUACGUG